GCCAGACUCCUACGGGAGGCAGCAGUGGGGAAUAUUGCACAAUGGGGGAAACCCUGAUGCAGCGACGCCGCGUGAGUGAAGAAGUAUUUCGGUAUGUAAAGUUCUAUCAGCAGGGAAGAAGUUGACGGUACCUGAGUAAGAAGCCCCGGCUAACUACGUGCCAGCAGCCGCGGUAAUACGUAGGGGGCAAGCGUUAUCCGGAUUUACUGGGUGUAAAGGGAGCGUAGACGGUUGCGCAAGUCUGGAGUGAAAGGCGGGGGCCCAACCCCCGGACUGCUCUGGAAACUGUGUAACUGGAGUGCAGGAGAGGUAAGUGGAAUUCCUAGUGUAGCGGUGAAAUGCGUAGAUAUUAGGAGGAACACCAGUGGCGAAGGCGGCUUACUGGACUGUAACUGACGUUGAGGCUCGAAAGCGUGGGGAGCAAACAGGAUUAGAUACCCGGGUAC
rnacentral:rRNA from 1 species